rnacentral:rRNA from 1 species
CCAACAGGGAUUGCCCUAGUAACGGCGAGUGAAGCGGCAACAGCUCAAAUUUGAAAUCUGGCUCUUUCAGAGUCCGAGUUGUAAUUUGCAGAGGGCGCUUUGGCGUUGGCAGCGGUCCAAGUUCUUUGGAACAGGACGUCACAGAGGGUGAGAAUCCCGUACGUGGUCGCUAACCUUCGCCGUGUAAAGCCCCUUCGACGAGUCGAGUUGUUUGGGAAUGCAGCUCUAAAUGGGAGGUAAAUUUCUUCUAAAGCUAAAUACUGGCCAGAGACCGAUAGCGCACAAGUAGAGUGAUCGAAAGAUGAAAAGCACUUUGGAAAGAGAGUCAAAUAGCACGUGAAAUUGUUGAAAGGGAAGCGCUUGCAGCCAGACUUGCCUGUAGUUGCUUAUCUGGACUUUUGUCCGGUGCACUCUUCUGCGGGCAGGCCAGCAUCAGUUUGGGCGGUUGGAUAAAGGUCUCUGUCAUGUACCUCUCUUCGGGGAGGCCUUAUAGGGGAGACGACAUGCAACCAGCCUGGACUGAGGUCCGCGCAUUUGCUAGGAUGCUGGCGUAAUGGCUGUAAGCGGCCCGUCUUGAAACACGGACCAAGGAGUCUAACAUCUAUGCGAGUGUUUGGGUGUCAAGCCCGGACGCGUAAUGAAAGUGAACGGAGGUGGGAACCCUUUGGGUGCACCAUCGACCGAUCCUGAUGUCUUCGGAUGGAUUUGAGUAAGAGCAUGGCUGUUGGGACCCGAAAGAUGGUGAACUAUGCUUGAAUAGGGUGAAGCCAGAGGAAACUCUGGUGGAGGCUCGCAGCGGUUCUGACGUGCAAAUCGAUCGUCAAAUUUGGGCAUAGGGGCGAAAGACAAUCGACUAUCUAGAGUG